rnacentral:rRNA from 1 species
CCCUUAGAUGUUCUGGGCAGCACGCGCGCUACAAUGGUCUUCGCAAACGGAUGCAUUCUCGAAGGAGAAUGCCAAUCUUGGAAUCUAUGCCUUGGUCGGGACAGUUGCUUUCAAUUUUUCGACUCGAACCAGGAAUUCCUUGUAAUCGUGAUUCAUCACAUCACGAUGAAUACGUCCCUGCCCUUUGUACACACCGCCCGUCGCUCCUACCGAUCGAAGAGUUAGGUGAAUUGUUUUGAUCGAUAAGAUUUGACUAUGGUCAACUCUCGUUGUGAAAUUCUGUGAAUCUGACUGUUUAGAGGAAGGAAAAGUCGUAACA